rfam:Drosophila busckii chromosome 2R sequence.
AAGACUAUACUUCACAGGAUCAUUUCUGUAGUCAGUCUUCACUUACUUUCACACUAGCUGAAAGUCACACACACCCGCGUUGAUGAGGUGAAUCGUUUUAUUCGGCAGCGUGAGGUUUUGCGUUUUGCACCUUUGUGUGCGUAACGCUUCGAUGAUCGCUCGGUAACACGAAUAGAACGAAUUCUGAGUGGU